UACGGGGGGGGGCAAGCGUUGUUCGGAAUUACUGGGCGUAAAGGGCUCGUAGGUGGCCAACUAAGUCAGACGUGAAAUCCCUCAGCUUAACUGGGGAACUGCGUCUGAUACUGGAUGGCUCGAGUGCAGGAGAGGAACGCGGAAUUCCAGGUGUAGCGGUGAAAUGCGUAGAUAUCUGGAGGAACACCGGUGGCGAAAGCGGCGACGCUGGAUCCCUUCUCGACGCUGAGGCGCGAAAGCCAGGGGAGCCAAAG
rnacentral:rRNA from 1 species